rnacentral:misc_RNA from 1 species
AUGCGAUAAGUAAUGUGAAUUGCAGAAUUCAGUGAAUCAUCGAAUCUUUGAACGCACCUUGCGCUCCUUGGUAUUCCGAGGAGCAUGCCUGUUUGAGUGUCAUUAAAUUAUCAACCUCUAUUGGAUUUUCUUUCAAGUGAGUGUUGGAUUUGGAGGUUUUGCAAGCGCUCUUGAGCACUGGGCUCCUCUUAAAAACAUUAGCUGGAACGUCUCCUUAGACUGUCCUAUAGUGUGAUAAUUAUCUGCGCUAUAGUUCAGACUGACUCGUGUUUGGGACUCUGCUUAUAAGUGUCCUAUAUAUUGGACAAGGACACCUAGUGUUUUUCUUUGACAACUUGACCUCAAAUCAGGUAGGACUACCCGCUGAACUUAA